AUUGAACGCUGGCGGCAGGCUUAACACAUGCAAGUCGAGCGGUAGCACAGGGGAGCUUGCUCCCUGGGUGACGAGCGGCGGACGGGUGAGUAAUGUCUGGGAAACUGCCUGAUGGAGGGGGAUAACUACUGGAAACGGUAGCUAAUACCGCAUAACGUCGCAAGACCAAAGAGGGGGACCUUCGGGCCUCUUGCCAUCAGAUGUGCCCAGAUGGGAUUAGCUAGUAGGUGGGGUAAUGGCUCACCUAGGCGACGAUCCCUAGCUGGUCUGAGAGGAUGACCAGACACACUGGAACUGAGACACGGUCCAGACUCCUACGGGAGGCAGCAGUGGGGAAUAUUGCACAAUGGGCGCAAGCCUGAUGCAGCCAUGCCGCGUGUGUGAAGAAGGCCUUCGGGUUGUAAAGCACUUUCAGCGAGGAGGAAGGUGGUGAACUUAAUACGUUCAUCAAUUGACGUUACUCGCAGAAGAAGCACCGGCUAACUCCGUG
rnacentral:rRNA from 1 species